rnacentral:lncRNA from 1 species
AUUUCGGUGUAGAAGUGGCAGCACGGCAGACUGGUCAAACAAAUGGAUUUUACAGAGGCUUACGCGGACACGUGCUCUACAGUUGGACUUGCUGCCAGGGAAGGCAAUGUUAAAGUCUUAAGGAAACUGCUCAAAAAGGGCCGAAGUGUCGAUGUUGCUGAUAACAGGGGAUGGAUGCCAAUUCAUGAAGCAGCUUAUCACAACUCUGUAGAAUGUUUGCAAAUGUUAAUUAAUGCAGAUUCAUCUGAAAACUACAUUAAGAUGAAGACCUUUGAAGGUUUCUGUGCUUUGCAUCUCGCUGCAAGUCAAGGACAUUGGAAAAUCGUACAGAUUCUUUUAGAAGCUGGGGCAGAUCCUAAUGCAACUACUUUAGAAGAAACGACACCAUUGUUUUUAGGUGCAAAUGUCAAUUGUCAAGCCUUGGACAAAGCUACACCCUUGUUCAUUGCUGCUCAAGAGGGACACACAAAAUGUGUGGAGCUUUUGCUCUCCAGUGGGGCAGAUCCUGAUCUUUACUGUAAUGAGGACAGUUGGCAGUUACCUAUUCAUGCAGCUGCACAAAUGGGCCAUACAAAAAUCUU